rnacentral:rRNA from 1 species
UACGUAGGGUGCAAGCGUUGUCCGGAAUUAUUGGGCGUAAAGAGCUCGUAGGCGGCCUUCUAAGUCGAACGUGAAAUCCCCGGGCUCAACCCAGGAACUGCGUCCGAUACUGGAAGGCUUGAAUCCGGGAGAGGGAUGUGGAAUUCCAGGUGUAGCGGUGAAAUGCGUAGAUAUCUGGAGGAACACCGGUGGCGAAGGCGACAUCCUGGACCGGUAUUGACGCUGAGGCGCGAAAGCCAGGGGAGCAAACGGG